rnacentral:lncRNA from 1 species
AUUCUGUGUCCAGGACUUCGGGCCCUCUGUGAGCCUCUGUCCGCCAAGGCGAUGGAGCUGUGUUUGGAGUCCCUCGUCUUUGGCAGCGGCUGGGGCCAAAGCCCGGGCAAGACCAACGCCUUCGGCACCCGGACUCAGGCUCCGUCCUCUCUGCCAGCGUGCGGCUACAAUGACUCGACAUGGCAGGUGGGCAAGCACAGCACGCCCCAACAGACAUGCUUUAUUUAAUAUGUACUAAAAAUACAGCAGGCCUGUGAAACCCACAGGUGCAAUUGCUUAAAAUGAGGCUAAGGUAGACGUGUGAAUGGUUAAUAAUGAGUUGAUUAAAAUAUUCAGAAAUCAUCUACUGGAGACGGGCAAACUGCAAAAUGGUAGCAUGGGAGCAACUGAUGUUCGAGAAAGCCCAGGCUCCGGCAAGCCGUGGGUUUGAAUUUACACAUGCGCACAUAAUGGGUAUGAAUAAACCUUUCUUCAAAAAAA